UACGUAGGGAGCAAGCGUUGUCCGGAUUUACUGGGUGUAAAGGGUGCGUAGGCGGCUUUGCAAGUCAGAAGUGAAAUCCAUGGGCUUAACCCAUGAACUGCUUUUGAAACUGCAAGGCUUGAGUGAAGUAGAGGCAGGCGGAAUUCCCGGUGUAGCGAUGAAAUGCGUAGAGAUCGGGAGGAACACCAGUGGCGAAGGCGGCCUGCUGGGCUUUAACUGACGCUGAGGCACGAAAGCAUGGGUAGCAAACAGG
rnacentral:rRNA from 1 species